rnacentral:rRNA from 1 species
GAGGAAUAUUGGUCAAUGGGCGAGAGCCUGAACCAGCCAUCCCGCGUGAAGGAAGAAGGCGCUAUGCGUUGUAAACUUCUUUUCCAGGGGAAGAAAACCCCCGACGUGUCGGGGCUUGCCGGUACCUUGGGAAUAAGCAUCGGCUAACUCCGUGCCAGCAGCCGCGGUAAUACGGAGGAUGCGAGCGUUAUCCGGAUUCAUUGGGUUUAAAGGGUGCGUAGGCGGACUAAUAAGUCAGUGGUGAAAACCUGCAGCUUAACUGUAGACGUGCCAUUGAUACUGUUAGUCUUGAGUAUGGUCAAGGUAGGCGGAAUGUGUAAUGUAGCGGUGAAAUGCUUAGAUAUUACACAGAACACCGAUUGCGAAGGCAGCUUGCUGGGCCAUUACUGACGCUGAUGCACGAAAGCGUGGGGAGCGAAC